UUGUACUUCUUCUUGAUAACAAUCAUUCCUAACGAAAAAACUGUCACAAACCCUUUUCUCCUUCAAGCUAAACAAACAAAAUAAUCGCGCACAAACCCUAACCCUUUUUUUCUUUAAGCAAAUCAAUCAGAACACAUGAUUCCCUCUCGUUUGUGCUUACCAAUUGGAUCUCCUUUGUAUGUGAAGGUUAACGAAGAACACUACGCUCACUCGCCAACGAGGGUUUUCAAAGCUCACACAGUUAACUUACUCUUGGUUCUUCACAUACCAGAUUCCCUCUGCCGGUCUCUCUCAAGUCGGUCUCGUCACUUGUUAGUUCAACCUGUUUAUCUUUCCUUAUCGAGCACAGUAAGAAAAGAAACUUGAAGCUACACCUGAUGGGGUUGAGUUUCAAGAAAAGCUAACUCGUGUUGCCGCAAUAAGUACCCACAAAAUUUUCUUAUAAGCUCCGGUUUGCUUUAUAAUUUUAGUAGUUUCCAAUUAGGAUAUACUCGGAACAAUUUAUACGUGCGGUAAACCAUCCUCCAAUGCAGGAACAUAUCAAAGAAAUGCAAUAAAGAUACAAAGGAAGAAAGGUCUCAUGAAUGUAUUGUGGAAUUUCAAAGCGUGUAGAACACGGUGAAGGUAUCAUUUCGAGCCUAGAUGGCAUUGGACAAAGAACUGCUUUACAAAACUCUGGUGAAGCUAAGAUGUUUGAAAUUGAUGGAGAGCCUCUAUUUGACACUAAAUCACUGCACGACAUGAUUCAGUUGUUUCACAUAGCUCAGGUAUGACUUGAUAGGAACUAGGUACAGUUCCUUAAAAUUAAGCAUACAUUUAUUGUUUGUUAUUUGCUUUUGAGCCUCUUGAAACAACCUCUUUAUUUGACGAGCAUAGUCCAUCUUAAACAUGUGAUGAUUUGGUUUUAUUGGUAUCUUUAUUGAAGUGGAGGGAGAUGUAAAUACAAAUUCUGUUAUGGAUUUAUUUGGGCUAUUUUAGAUGUUUAGGAAUGCUACUUACAUUGUAGUUUAAAUUAAAUAUAUAAAACUACAAGUUCUAACAGUGUAUGUUGACAUGUUUGCCAAAGUAUUGAUGAGAAUAGUAGUGGAACAGUAAACAAGACAUUUACAGAUGCUAAAUCUAUGAGCUCUUUGUUUUGCAAGCACCAAAAUAACUUAUGGAUUCAUUUUAUGUUCAUCUGCUCUGUCAUUGAUGCCCAUAUCUAACACUAAAGUGAAACUAUACAUCUAUUGUUACUCUGGUUGGUGAUUUAUUGUUAGACAAAUGUAAAUAUGUGGUUGAUAAUUGAUACUUUUUACUUAUACUUUUGCUUUCUAUUACCAUUCGACAUGUAAUCUCUUUGGUCUGGUCCAUGUUGGUAUGCGGAAUACUAGAGUAAUCUCUUUAUGCUAGUGGAAGAUGUGUAUUCUACAAGGAGUCUCUCUGCUGCUUCUGGUAUGAUCAAGAAUUACUAUGAGCUGUAGGGAAGAUUCUGUUCAUGAAUGAAAUUGAUAAUUCUCAAUCAUAUUAGUCAUUUUGGUUAAGUCAAUUGAGCUUGAGAAAUGAUCUCAAAAUGAGUAACAAGCUUGAGAAUUUUCAUAUUCAGAAAUCAUUUUGGAAUUUUAUUAGAUUUAGGGACCAAUGGCAAUGGAAUAGAUCAUUUCUAAAUUACAAGAUUUUCAAAUUUAGGGAUGAAUGGCAAUGACAGUGUUACUUUGCCGAGAAUUUUCACAUUCAACUAAUUAACCUUAAAUCAUUAGCUAGUAUAUAUUUUCUUAAUUUCAAGUUAUUAUUUUAGGCUAAUUUUGAUGAUUAUUUUGCCUUUUUUGUCACACAGAUGAGGAGCAGUUUUGUGUUAGAAUCAAGAUUCUACAAACUUCAUUGUUGGAUUUGUAGUUCUUGGACUUUUAUUAAUCAUUCAAUAGGUUUCAAUAGCAAUGAUGCUACAAUCUUGUCAACUUAAUAGCGUUGGAAUUGUUGAGCUUAGCAAUACAAAUGUUGACUAUAGUUAUUGCAUGAUUCAUUCUCUAAAUUGC